rnacentral:rRNA from 1 species
GACGAACGCUGGCGGCGUGCCUAAUACAUGCAAGUCGAGCGAGCUUGCCUAGAUGAUUUUAGUGCUUGCACUAAAUGAAACUAGAUACAAGCGAGCGGCGGACGGGUGAGCAACACGUGGGUAACCUGCCCAAGAGACUGGGAUACCAUUUGGAAACUGGUGCUAAUACCGGAUAAUAAAGCAGAUCGCAUGAUCAGCUUUUGAAAGGCGGCGUAAGCUGUCGCUAAGGGGAUGGCCCCGCGGUGCAUUAGCUAGUUGGUAAGGUAACGGCUUACCAAGGCGACGAUGCAUAGCCGAGUUGAGAGACUGAUCGGCCACAUUGGGACUGAGACACGGCCCAA